CUACGGGACGCUGCAGUGGGGAAUAUUGGACAAUGGGGGAAACCCUGAUCCAGCAAUGCCGCGUGUGUGAAGAAGGCCUGCGGGUUGUAAAGCACUUUCGGUUGGGAGGACUGCUUCUAGCACUAAUAUUGUUGGAAGUUGACGUUACCUUCAGAAGAAGCACCGGCUAACUCCGUGCCAGCAGCCGCGGUGAUAGGGAGGGUGCAAGCGUUAAUCGGAAUUACUGGGCGUAAAGCGCGCGUAGGCGGCUAGAUCAGUCGGGUGUGAAAGCCCCGGGCUUAACCUGGGAACUGCAUCCGAUACUGUCUAGCUUGAGUACAGGAGAGGAGAGUGGAAUUCCACAUGUAGCGGUGAAAUGCGUAGAUAUGUGGAGGAACACCAAUGGCGAAGGCAGCUCUCUGGCCUGAUACUGACGCUGAGGUGCGAAAGCGUGGGGAGCAAACAGGAUUAGAUACCCUUGUAGUC
rnacentral:rRNA from 1 species